ACACUGAUGGUGAAGUGGUUAUCAUGCUUGCCUUCCAAGUGGUUCAGCAAGCGGCAGGGGUUCGAUUCCCCUUCAGUGUA